GCCCGGGUGGCUCAGCGGUUGAGCACCUGCCUUCGGCUCAGGGGUGAUCCUGGAGACCCGGGAUCGAGUCCCGCAUCGGGCU
rnacentral:tRNA from 1 species